CAGUCGCCGCGGUAAUACAGAGGGUGCGAGCGUUAAUCGGAUUUACUGGGCGUAAAGCGUGCGUAGGCGGCUUUUUAAGUCGGAUGUGAAAUCCCUGAGCUUAACUUAGGAAUUGCAUUCGAUACUGGGAAGCUAGAGUAUGGGAGAGGAUGGUAGAAUUCCAGGUGUAGCGGUGAAAUGCGUAGAGAUCUGGAGGAAUACCGAUGGCGAAGGCAGCCAUCUGGCCUAAUACUGACGCUGAGGUACGAAAGCAUGGGGAGCAAACAGGAUUAGAGACCCCAGUAGUCCCUGUCUCUUAUAC
rnacentral:rRNA from 1 species